AUGCUACUAGAUGUUGUUGCUUUCGUUGGAAGUCAUGGACAAUUGCUAGUCACCGGCCAUACAGUGGUUUACUUGGCGCCAAAGGUGCAAGCAGAGUACAGGCAUAUUCUUGGAGUAGUACAAUGCUAUGACCGGUUUACCAUCACGUUAAGACAAGAGAAGACCGUGUGGAGCACUGCAAAAAAAUCAUGGAAACAGUACAAUUCAGAUCAAUUGAAAACCGACGACGGACCUGACUGGCCCGACGUCCCAGGAAAAACUCAGGUGCUAUCCGUCUCAUUUAUUUUUUCAAUAUACAUUAAGUUCCUUCGGGAACAAUUGUCCUCCCUUUAA
rnacentral:rRNA from 1 species